rnacentral:lncRNA from 1 species
GGGAUGUAUUAUGGUAUACCGUUGUCCAUAUGUCCGUCUGUUGGACAAUAAUUCAAAAGCAAUUUAACCAAUUUGCAAGAAACUUCUGUGACUUGUUUAUAUCUAAUUAUCAGUAUUGACAUGAGCUAUCUUUCAUUUUUUUUAAUCAAUUUUAGAUUUUUCUUUUCUGAGUUUUUAUGGAGUUUAAUUCAUGAAAAAAAGGGGGAUUUUCCUGUUUUCAGACAAUAACUCAAAAAUUUCAUUUAAUAAAAACCAUUUGCCAAUGUAAUAAGACGAAUAACUAAUCAAAGAAUUCAUAUAUUGAAAAAUUUUCAACUUGUGACUGACCAACACUGAUAAUUAACUCAUGAGCUACUUCCAUUCGUGAAUUAAUGUGUUGUUAGGUCACUUGUUGAAUAUUUUUCUAUAUUUGAAUUCUUUGAUUAGUUAUUCUAUAAUUAUUCAUUUAAAAAAGGGGGGGUUUUCCAGUUAUCGGAAAAUAAUUAAAAAAAGCUUUCAGCAAUUUUGAUGAAACUUCACUUUUUAAUGGAAUGUACUGAAUACAAAAUGGAAAGGAAUUUUAUUCUUAAUAAAGC